AGUGAACGCUGGCGGUAGGCCUAACACAUGCAAGUCGAACGGCAGCACAGUAAGAGCUUGCUCUUACGGGUGGCGAGUGGCGGACGGGUGAGGAAUAUAUCGGAAUCUACUUUUUCGUGGGGGAUAACGUAGGGAAACUUACGCUAAUACCGCAUACGACCUACGGGUGAAAGCAGGGGAUCUUCGGACCUUGCGCGAUUGAAUGAGCCGAUGUCGGAUUAGCUAGUUGGCGGGGUAAAGGCCCACCAAGUCGACGAUCCGUAGCUGGUCUGAGAGGAUGAUCAGCCACACUGGAACUGAGACACGGUCCAGACUCCUACGGGAGGCAGCAGUGGGGAAUAUUGGACAAUGGGCGCAAGUCUGAUCCAGCCAUACCGCGUGGGUGAAGAAGGCCUUCGGGUUGUAAAGCCCUUUUGUUGGGAAAGAAACGCAGCAGGUUAAUACCCCGCUGUUCUGACGGUACCCAAAGAAUAAGCACCGGCUAACUUCGUG
rnacentral:rRNA from 1 species